GCUGAUCCUCACCAGCGCAGGCAACAUUUGCGGGACUGAAAACGCCUGGAGCAGACAGACGGUCAAGUCAUCGCCUACUUUGACUCGGUUGGGAAGACAUCCACGUGCAUGAAGCUGUCUUGCUCCAGGACGAGCAUGGUGGCUGGGAACAAACCUGUCUACAUUUCCAUGGUGGAUUAUUACAAGCCAAAUGAUAACACUGUGGUCUCCUACCAGCCGCGUAGACUGAAGACGUCGAAUUUCUGCCAGAUAUGUUCCCAGUGUGCCGGCUGUGGCCAAAAGUCCUAGACUACGUGACACAAGACGUGGAUACAUCGCACGUUUCUACACGCAGCUGAUGCCUGUUUCAAAUAUUGCAGUGAUACUGGAUGCUGAACUUCAUGUGCAUGUAUUGUUCUAUUAUGUGAAUAUAUCUCCCCAUAAAUCACCCUGCUGCAGUCGAUGCCGAGACCCAGUGGAACCAAGGUUCCAUCUGGGAGAUGAUCGCUAUGACACUCCGAUGUGGGUAUAUUAUGAAACGAAUUCCUGACUCUUGUACAGUAUUUCACACUGAAAUAUGACAGUGUUGAAAGGCUGUAUACAUAUUUCUUGCUGUCGAUUCCAUUACCAAAUCUCAUUCCUAACACACUUGGUGUCAGUUCUUCAUUCUUCAUUCCUUUAGUCAAAUUUAUAACAAAGCCUUCCUCACAACGGAAAACAGGGCACGCUAUAUGACUUGUACGUUCAAUAAAGU